CGGAAAAGGAAAAGUGUACAUCCGACCACAAAACACUGUUGUACUAAUACAAACAGAUAAACCUACGUAUAAACCUGGCCAGAAAUUGCUGUUUCUCGUGUCUCCUAUGAACGCAAAUUUACAGCCGAUAGGUGGAGCUGAUGAAACGAACGUAAUAUGGGCUGAAGAUCCUUCAGGUAUACGAGUUGCACAAUGGAGAAAUAUGACGUUUAAAAAAAAGGUGA